rnacentral:rRNA from 1 species
UUGGUGAUUCAUGAUAACUUCACGGAUCGCAUGGCCUUGCGCCGGCGACGGUUCAUUCAAAUUUCUGCCCUAUCAACUUUCGAUGGUAAGGUAUUGGCUUACCAUGGUUUCAACGGGUAACGGGGAAUUAGGGUUCGAUUCCGGAGAGGGAGCCUGAGAAACGGCUACCACAUCCAAGGAAGGCAGCAGGCGCGCAAAUUACCCAAUCCCGACACGGGGAGGUAGUGACAAUAAAUACUGAUACAGGGCUCUUUUGGGUCUUGUAAUUGGAAUGAGUACAAUUUAAACCUCUUAACGAGGAACAAUUGGAGGGCAAGUUUGGUGCCAGCAGCCGCGGUAAUUCCAGCUCCAAUAGCGUAUAUUAAAGUUGUUGCAGUU